rnacentral:rRNA from 1 species
GACGAACGCUGGCGGCGUGCUUAACACAUGCAAGUCGAACGGAAAGGCCCUGCUUUUGUGGCGUUCUCGAGUGGCGAACGGGUGAGUAACACGCGAGUAACCCGCCCCUGUCUUUGGGAUAUCACUAGGAAACUGGGGCUAAUACCGGAUAGGAGCUCUUGCUGCACGGUGGGGGAUGGAAAGUUUCGGCGGUUGGGGAUGGACUCGCGGCUUAUCGGCUUGUUGGUGGGGUAGUGGCUUACCAAGGGUUCGACGGGUAGCCGGCCUGGGAGGGUGACCGGCCACAUUGGGACUGAGGUACGGCCCAGACUCCAACGUGAGGCAGCAGUGGGGAGUCUUGCGCAGUGGGCGGGAGCCUGAUGCAGCGACGCCGCGUGCGGAAUGACGGGCUACGGGUUGAAAACCGCUGUCGCAGGUGACGAAGCGGGAGUGACGGUAAUGAAUAAAAAAGCACCGGCUAACUACGUG